rnacentral:rRNA from 1 species
CCAAUAGCGUAUAUUAAAGUUGCUGCAGUUAAAAAGCUCGUAGUUGAAUUUCGGGACCAAUAUGUCGGUCGUGCCUCGGUACGUACUGGCAUCGUUGGUUUCUCCCUUCUGAAGAACCAUGAUGUCAUUCAUUUGGUGUCGUGGGGAAUCAGGACUAUUACUUUGAAAAAAUUAGAGUGUUUAAAGCAGGCUCACGCUUGAAUACAUUAGCAUGGAAUAAUGAAAUAGGACGUUUGAUUCUAUUUUGUUGGUUUCUAGGAUCGACGUAAUGAUUAAUAGGGAUAGUUGGGGGCAUUAGUAUUCAAUUGUCAGAGGUGAAAUUCUUGGAUUUAUUGAAGACUAACUACUGCGAAAGCAUUUGCCAAGGAUGUUUUCAUUAAUCAAGAACGAAAGUUAGGGGAUCGAAGACGUUCAGAUACCGUCGUAGUCUUAACCAUAAACUAUGCCGACUAGGGAUCGGAUGAUGUUAAUUUUUUAAUGACUCAUUCGGCGCCUUACG